CCCUUAGAUGUCCUGGGCCGCACGCGUGCUACACUGAUGCAUACAGCGAGCACUUCCCGGCCCCGAAAGGCGGCUGGUAAUCAGCAAUAUGCAUCGUGAUGGGGAUAGAUCUUUGGAAUUCUUGAUCUUGAACGAGGAAUGCCUAGUAGGCGCAAGUCAUUACCUUGCGUCGAUUAAGUCCCUGCCCUUUGUACACACCGCCCGUCGCACCUACCGAUUGAAUGGUCCGGUGAAAUCUCGGGACGGCGGCUUGGUCGCUUGCGUCCGACUGCUGAAACUUGAUUAAACCAUAUCAUUUAGAGGAAGGUGAAGUCGUAACA
rnacentral:rRNA from 1 species